AUGUGAUUUGAUUUUUGGGGCUUUUAAUAAAGGGGACCCAUUUGGUUUGGUAAUGUAACAGGUGAAUAUUUACUUAUCGUGAAGGCUAUGAGCUAGGUCGUGCAUGUCCUAUAAUAAACUAAACAGGUGCAGCUAACGGUACAAGGCAUACCGGUAUGUGGAUAUUAGCUUGUUCAGUAGCCAGUCCGCAGCUGCUUUCCAUGUGCACGCUGUUAAAAGGCACUGUCAACUAACACCAAAACACUCAAUCACUGUACAGUCGACUUUCCACCCACAGGUCAUUUGCACACAUACUAUUAGUUUAAUGGUAUGCUUCUAAUCCAGUUAUGUUAGCUUUGCAAAUCUAGCAGCUCUUGCUAGUACCACAGCAGCGUCUGUAGUCUGUCUGUCAGCCAUCUAACAAAUAGUGGGCAAGCUCAGCUAUGUUACCGGCGGCAGUAGGAUCUUGGCCCUAGCCUAGGGAAAGUUUGUACCGGCGGCAGUAGGGCUUGGCCCUAGCCUAGGGAAAGUGUGUACCGGGGGCAGUAGGGCUUGGCCCUAGCCUAGGGAAAGUUUGUACAAGGUCUGAGGCAAACCAAAUGUAACUUUAACUGUGAACUAUUAAUGUGGUUUCAAUUCAUUCUGUUUUUAUUGCAGGGGAUGAAAUGUUCAGACAUUUACAAGAUCAAAUAAUCACCAAAUGGGAUCUUGUUCGAAGUUCAGGGAAAGGAUGCGUCUCCAAUGCAGUCUUGGCUCAUCGCUGCAACUCCCAUAUGGACUCGGGAGAGGUGAAGGGCCCGGGUCUCCACAGGAGUCGCUAGAGUGAGAUGGGACAAGGACAUCCUUGUCAGCCAAACACUCCCCCAACCUGGACGACGCUGGGCCAAUUGUGUGCCGACCCAUGGGUCGCGGCCGGCUGCAACAGUGCCUGGACUUAAACCAGGAUCUCUAGUGGCACAGCUAGCAACUGCAAUACAGUGCCUUAGACCACUGCACCACUCGGGAGGCCACAAUAAGGUGUUUGACAGUAUUGAGACCCAACCACUGAGAGACUCAGCACUCACUCUCUUCCCUCCCCCCCCCCCCCCCCCCCUCUCUUCCUCCGGUCCUCCCUUCAGAUGGUCAGUAGAACAUUGAUGACUCUUUGCUGGGGGUGAAUGCGUCGGCAGAAGUGCAGGAUGACGUCUGUGAGUCCAGCACGGUCAAUGGAGUGGACAUCGUCCUCAACCACAGACUGCAAGAGGCAUCCUUCACCAUGGACUCAUACGAGGGAUAUAUCGAGGACUACAUGAAGGCGUGAGUGUGUUAGUAAGGGGUGUAUGUGUGAUGUUAGGGCUAACCUAUCAAUCCCCCUUUGCACCCCGCAAAGCUGUAAUUGUAAAUUUAAAACAGUCACUAUUUGAAAUUUAACACAGUUUAAGGUGCAUGUGUGCGCACACGAUCAAGGCUAAGCUGGAGGAGAACAACCCAGAUGGAGUGAAGCCCUUCACGACUGGAGCUCAGGAGGAGAUCAAGAUGAUCAUGGGCAACAUGAAGAACUACCAGGGGAUGAAAUGUUCAGACAUUUACAAGAUCAAAUAAUCACCAAAUGGGAUCUUGUUCGAAGUUCAGGGAAAGGAUGCGUCUCCAAUGCAGUCUUGGCUCAUCGCUGCAACUCCCAUAUGGACUCGGGAGAGGUGAAGGGCCCGGGUCUCCACAGGAGUCGCUAGAGUGAGAUGGGACAAGGACAUCCUUGUCAGCCAAACACUCCCCCAACCUGGACGACGCUGGGCCAAUUGUGUGCCGCCCCAUGGGUCGCGGCCGGCUGCAACAGUGCCUGGACUUAAACCAGGAUCUCUAGUGGCACAGCUAGCAACUGCAAUACAGUGCCUUAGACCACUGCACCACUCGGGAGGCCACAAUAAGGUGUUUGACAGUAUUGAGACCCAACCACUGAGUGACUCAGCACUCACUCUCUUCCCUUCCCCCCCCCCCCCCCCCCCCCCCCCUCUCUUCCUCCGGUCCUCCCUUCAGAUGGUCAGUAGAACAUUGAUGACUCUUUGCUGGGGGUGAAUGCGUCGGCAGAAGUGCAGGAUGACGUCUGUGAGUCCAGCACGGUCAAUGGAGUGGACAUCGUCCUCAACCACAGACUGCAAGAGGCAUCCUUCACCAUGGACUCAUACGAGGGAUAUAUCGAGGACUACAUGAAGGCUUUAAGGUGCAUGUGUGCGCACACGAUCAAGGCUAAGCUGGAGGAGAACAACCCAGAUGGAGUGAAGCCCUUCACGACUGGAGCUCAGGAGGAGAUCAAGAUGAUCAUGGGCAACAUGAAGAACUACCAGGUGAGUCUAUGAACCCAGAUGGUAUGGUUGGUCUGCUGGACAUCCGUAAGGACAGCAUCACUCCCUUCAAAGACGGCCUGGAGAUGGAGAAAUGCUUCAGUCCCUUCAGUCUAUUUGUGUAAUAAUAACACUUGUUAUAACCACUGUCCUUCCUCCUCUCUUUCAUAGUAAUACUCAGGUCUCAGAACUUUGUUUCUAUUAGCUGCUGUAUCUCACCUGACCCACGACCAGGAACCAACCAGACGACGACUCUGCAUUAUGUUUGGAAUGGAAGUAUUAUAUGAUGCCCAAACCAAGUCAUGUCUAUGGGGUUGACAGAAAGGGUGCUGUGACAGUUAUGGUAUUGAUCUUAUUGAUUAUGGUGUUCAACUUUGAGUAUUGCAGUGUUCUGUUAACUGGUAUAUUCAGGAAGUACCCGUCAGAACAUUCGGAUAAAAAUGUAUAGAGUAGAGCAGAUAUGCCUCUGUCAUGCAGAAUACACAAUAUGUUACAUUUCUAUCUGGGACAUUCUAUAUGUCUCACAGUUUGCUGUGGGAUGAUUUUUUAAACUCUGUGAAGACAAUGUUUCCAUCCACUUAUCUGUUGUUGAUUAACUCUCAGGCCUCCAUUUGCUUGGUUUACAGUUACAUUAUGCAACAGUCAUUAGAUUCAUCAAAUAUAUUUUAAUGUUACGCCAUUGUACUUUUUCUUGAAUAAAUAUGCUACAUGACCA